rnacentral:rRNA from 1 species
UCGAGGGGUAUUUAUCUUCGGAUAGAGAGACCGGCGCACGGGUGCGUAACGCGUAUGCAAUCUACCUUUUGCAGAGGGAUAGCCCAGAGAAAUUUGGAUUAAUACCUCAUAGUAUAUAGAGUUGGCAUCAACACUAUAUUAAAGUCACAACGGCAAAAGAUGAGCAUGCGUCCCAUUAGCUAGUUGGUAAGGUAACGGCUUACCAAGGCUACGAUGGGUAGGGGUCCUGAGAGGGAGAUCCCCCACACUGGUACUGAGACACGGACCAGACUCCUACGGGAGGCAGCAGUGAGGAAUAUUGGACAAUGGGCGCAAGCCUGAUCCAGCCAUGCCGCGUGCAGGAUGACGGUCCUAUGGAUUGUAAACUGCUUUUGCACAGGAAGAAACAACGCUACGUGUAGCGUCUUGACGGUACUGUGAGAAUAAGGAUCGGCUAACUCCGUGCCAGCAGCCGCGGUAAUACGGAGGAUCCAAGCGUUAUCCGGAAUCAUUGGGUUUAAAGGGUCCGUAGGCGGUUUAGUAAGUCAGUGGUGAAAGCCCAUCGCUCAACGGUGGAACGGCCAUUGAUACUGCUAGACCUGAAUUAUUAGGAAGUAACUAGAAUAUGUAGUGUAGCGGUGAAAUGCUUAGAGAUUACAUGGAAUACCAAUUGCGAAGGCAGGUUACUACUAAUGGAUUGACGCUGAUGGACGAAAGCGUGGGUAG